CCUAGUUGAUCCUACCAGUAGUCAUAUGCUUGUCUCAAAGAUUAAGCCAUGCAUGUGUAAGUAUGAACUAAUUCAGACUGUGAAACUACGAAUGGCUACUACUCGGAUAACUGUAGUAAUUCUAGAGCUAAUACAUGCAACAAACCCUGACUUCUGAAAGGGAUGCAUUUACUAGACAAAAGGUCGACACAGGCUAUGCUCAUUGCUAUGAUGAUUCAUGAUAACUCAACGGGUCGCAUGACCUUUGUGUCGGUGACGCAUCAUUCAAAAUUUUGCCCUAUCAACUUUCGAUGGUAGGAUAGUGGCCUACUAUGUGGUGAUGGGUGAGAGAAUUAGGGUUCGAUUUUGGAGAGGGAGCCUGAGAAACGGCUACCACAUCCAAGGAAAGCAGCAGGUUUGCAAAUUACCCAAUCUUGACACAGGGAGGUAGUGACAAUAAAUAACAAUAUCAGGCUCUAUGAGUUUGGUAAUUGGAUUGAGUACAAUCUAAAUCCCGUAACGAGGAUCCAUUAGAGGGCAAGUCUGAUGUCAGCAGCCAUGAUAAUUCCAGCUCCAAUAGUGUAUAUUUAAGUUGUUGCAAUUAAAAAGCUCAUAGUUGAAACUAGGGUUGGGUCGUUCGGUCCGCCUCACGGUGGGCAUCGAUCUACUUGUCCCUACUGCUGGUGAUGCACUCUUAGACUUAAUUACCCGGGUCAUUCCUUCGACGCUAUUACAUUGAAAAAAUUAGAGUGCUUAAAGUAGGCCUACACUUGUAUACAUUAGCAUGGGAUAACGUCAUAGGAUUUCGGUCCUAUUGUGUUGGCCUUCGGGAUCAGAGUAAUGAUUAAUAGGGACAGUCAGGGGCAUUCAUAUUUCAUAGUCAGAGGUGAAAUUCUUGGAUUUAUGAAAGACGAACAAUGUGAAAGCAUUUGCCAAGGAUGUUUUCAAUAAUCAAGAACGAAAGUUAGGGGCUGAAGACGAUCGAAUACCGUCCUAGUCUUAACCAUAAAUGAUGCCGACCAAGGAUCGACAGAUGUUACUUUUAGGACUCCGUCGGCACCUUAUAAGAAAUGAAAGUCUUUGGGUUCUGGGGGGAGUAUAGUCGUAAGGCUGAAACUUAAAGGAAUUGAUGGAAGGGCACCACCAGGAGUAGAGCCUGCGGCUUAAUUUGACUCAACAUGGGGAAACUUACCAGGUCCAAACAUAGUAAGGAUUGAUAGAUUGAGAGCUCUUUCUUGAUUCUAUGGGUGGUGGUGCAUGGUCGUUCUUAGUUGGUGGAGCGAUUUGUCUAGUUAAUUCUGUUAACGAAUGAGACCUCAGCCUGCUAACUAGCUAUAUGGAGGUGAUCUUUCAUGGCUAGCUUCUUAUAGGGACUAUGGUCGCUUAGGCCAAGGAAGUUUGAGGCAAUAACAGGUCUGUGAUGCCCUUAGAUGUUCUGGGCCACACGUGCACUACACUGAUGCAUUCAAAGAGUCUAUAGCCUUGGUCGACAAGCUCGGGUAAGCCUUGGCCAACAAGCCUGGGUAAUCCUUAGCCAACAAGCCCGGGUAAUCUUUGGAAUUUCAUCGUGAUGUGGAUAGAUCAUUGCAAUUGUUGGUCUUUAAUGAGGAAUUCCUAGUAAGAGCGAGUCAUCAGCUCGCGUUGACUACAUCCAUGCCCUUUGUACACACCGCCCAUCGUUUCUACAAAUUGAAUGGUCUGAUGAAGUGUUCAGAUCGUGGUGAUGUGGAUGGUUCACCGCCCGCGACAUCGUGAGAUGUCCACUGAACCUUAUCAUUUAGAGGAAGGAGAAGUCGUAACAAGGUUUCCAUAGGUGAACCUGCGAAAG
rnacentral:rRNA from 1 species